UACGUAGGGUGCAAGCGUUGUCCGGAAUUAUUGGCGUAAAGAGCUCGUAGGCGGUCGUGUCGCGUCUGCUGUGAAACCUAGGGCUUAACUCUGGGCGUGCAGUGGGUACGGGCAGACUAGAGUGCGGUAGGGGAGACUGGAAUUCCUGGUGUAGCGGUGAAAUGGCGCAGAGUAUCAGGAGGAACACCGGUGGCGAAGGCGGGUCUCUGGGCCGGU
rnacentral:rRNA from 1 species